ACCUUUCAUUAUAGGUCAGGAGUAAAACAUAGUCUUCAAGAAUACCCAGGGAUCUUUUAUCUUCUUGUAUAAAGGAAGUACAGCUGGAAUAUAGAGCUCUUCUUAAAGGGAGAAACAAGAGGAUUAAUUUUUUUUAAUUAAAAUUAAAAAAAAAAAUGAGACAGAGUCUUGGGUCUCUGGGAGUCAGCGUUCAAAAACAUAAGAAACAUCCCUUCUAUUAAGUGUUUACAACUUAUUUUGCUGGAGAAGAUCAAAACAGCAAUAGGAAUGAUACACAGCAAUGCAUGAUGCCUGUCGGUGUAGACAAUUAACGUGGUAAGAGGGUUCAUUCAGGGCAAGUUCUCCAGAACCCAGGAGAGUCAAAGA
rnacentral:lncRNA from 1 species